AUUGAACGCUGGCGGCAUGCCUUACCAUGCAAGUCGAACGGCAGCACGGACUUCGGUCUGGUGGCGAGUGGCGAACGGGUGAGUAAUGUAUCGGAACGUACCUUUCAGUCGGGGGAUAACGUAGCGAAAGUUACGCUAAUACCGCAUAUUCUGUGAGCAGGAAAGCAGGGGAUCGCAAGACCUUGCGCUGAUUGAGCGGCCGAUAUCAGAUUAGCUAGUUGGUGGGGUAAAGGCCUACCAAGGCUACGAUCUGUAGCGGGUCUGAGAGGAUGAUCCGCCACACUGGAACUGAGACACGGUCCAGACUCCUACGGGAGGCAGCAGUGGGGAAUUUUGGACAAUGGGCGCAAGCCUGAUCCAGCCAUGCCGCGUGAGUGAAGAAGGCCUUCGGGUUGUAAAGCUCUUUCGGCCGGGAAGAAAUCGCAUGGGUUAAUACCCUGUGUGGAUGACGGUACCGGAAUAAGAAGCACCGGCUAACUACGUG
rnacentral:rRNA from 1 species